rnacentral:RNase_P_RNA from 1 species
UAGGAAAAUCAUAUAUAUAAUAUAUUAUAUAUAAAUUAAUAUAUAAUAUACAUAUAUAUAUAUAUAUACAUAUAUAUAUAUAAUUAAUAUAUUUAAUAUUUAUAAUAAUUAAUAAUAAAAUAAUAAUUAUUAAUAAUAAUAAUAAAUAAUUAUAAAUUAUAUAAAAAUUAAUUAAUAUAUAUAUAUAUAUUAAAUAAAUAAUUAAUAAUAUUAAUAUAUUAUAAAUAUAAAUAUAUUUAUAUUAAUAAUUGAUAUAUAUAUAAAUUAUUAUAUAUAUCAUAUAUUUAUAUAAAUAAUAAAUAAAUAAUAAUAAUAUUGUUAUUAUAUAUAUUAUAUAUUAUAUAUUAUAUAAAAUAAUAAUUAAAUAUAAUUAUAUAAUUAUAUAAUUAUAAAUAAUUUAUUAAAUUAUAUAUAUAUAUAUAUAAUAAAUAAAUAAUAAUUAAAUUAUUAUUAAUAAUUGAAUAAUUGAAAAGAAUAUUAAUUAAUUAAUUAAUAAUUAAUAUAUAUAUAUAUAUAUUAUCAUUAUUAUUAUAUAAUUAAUAAUUAUAUUAUUUAUAAUAAUAAAUAAUUAUUAUAAUAUAUAAAUAUAAAAUAUUAUAUAUAUAAUUAUAUUAUAUAUAUAUAUUAUAUUAUAUAUAUAAAUAUAAAAUAUAAAAUAUUAUAUAUAUAAUUAAUAUAAUAAUAAUAAUAAAAUUAAAUUAUUAAUAUUAAUAAGUGUUAUAAAAUAUUAUAUAUAUUAUAAUAUAUAAUUAUUAUAUAUAUAAUUGAUAAAUAAUAAUUAAAUUAUAUUAUAAUAAUAAUAAUAACUAAAAUAUGGUUAA